rnacentral:rRNA from 1 species
AGUGAACGCUGGCGGUAGGCCUAACACAUGCAAGUCGAACGGCAGCACAGAGGAGCUUGCUCCUUGGGUGGCGAGUGGCGGACGGGUGAGGAAUACAUCGGAAUCUACUCUGUCGUGGGGGAUAACGUAGGGAAACUUACGCUAAUACCGCAUACGACCUACGGGUGAAAGCAGGGGAUCUUCGGACCUUGCGCGAUUGCAUGAGCCGAUGUCGGAGUAGCUAGUUGGCGGGGUAAAGGCCCACCAAGGCGACGAGCCGUAGCUGGUCUGAGAGGAUGAUCAGCCACACUGGAACUGAGACACGGUCCAGACUCCUACGGGAGGCAGCAGUGGGGAAUAUUGGACAAUGGGCGCAAGCCUGAUCCAGCCAUACCGCGUGGGUGAAGAAGGCCUUCGGGUUGUAAAGCCCUUUUGUUGGGAAAGAAAUCCAUCUGGUUAAUACCCGGGUGGGAUGACGGUACCCAAAGAAUAAGCACCGGCUAACUUCGUGCCAGCCGCCGCCGUAA